GGAUGCGAUCAUACCAGCACUAAAGCACCGGAUCCCAUCAGAACUCCGAAGUUAAGCGUGCUUGGGCGAGAGUAGUACUAGGAUGGGUGACCUCCUGGGAAGUCCUCGUGUUGCAUUCCU
rnacentral:rRNA from 1 species